rnacentral:pre_miRNA from 1 species
AAGUGAAUUACCCUGGUAUCUUAUCAAAAUGAAGAUCCAAAACAAUAGAUCUAGGGUAGGACCAGGAGUCUACAUUUUUAAUGAUCUCCCAAGUGAUACAAGU